rnacentral:misc_RNA from 1 species
GAUGAAGAACGCAGUGAAAUGCGAUAAGUAAUGUGAAUUGCAGAAUUCAGUGAAUCAUCGAAUCUUUGAACGCACAUUGCGCCCGCCAGUAUUCUGGCGGGCAUGCCUGUUCGAGCGUCAUUUCAACCAUCAAGCCCUGCUUGCGUUGGGGUCCUGCGGCUGCCCGCAGGCCCUGAAAACCAGUGGCGGGCUCGCUAGUCACACCGAGCGCAGUAAUACAUCUCGCUUUGAGCGUGCGGCGGGUUCUUGCCGUUAAACACCCCCUUUUUACCAAGGUUGACCUCGGAUCAGGUAGGAAUACCCGCUGAACUUAAGCAUAUCAAUAAGCGGAGGA